AACGCGAAGAACCUUACCUGGGCUCGAAAUGUAGUGGACUGAGGUAGAAAUAUCUCUUCCCCGCAAGGGGCUGCUAUAUAGGUGCUGCAUGGCUGUCGUCAGCUCGUGUCGUGAGAUGUUGGGUUAAGUCCCGCAACGAGCGCAACCCUUAUCCCUAGUUGCCAUCGGGUCAAGCCGGGCACUCUAGUGAAACCGCACAGGAUAACUGUGAGGAAGGUGGGGAUGACGUCAAGUCCUCAUGGCCUUUAUGUCCAGGGCUACACACGUGCUACAAUGGUCGGUACAAACCGUCGCAAACCCGCGAGGGGAAGCUAAUCGGAAAAAGCCGGCCUCAGUUCGGAUUGGAGUCUGCAACCCGACUCCAUGAAGCUGGAAUCGCUAGUAAUCGCGGAUCAGAACGCCGCGGUGAAUACGUUCCCGGGCCUUGUACACACCGCGCAUA
rnacentral:rRNA from 1 species